UACGUAGGGUGCAAGCGUUGUCCGGAAUUAUUGGGCGUAAAGAGCUCGUAGGCGGUCUGUCACGUCGGAUGUGAAAAUCCAGGGCUUAACCCUGGACCUGCAUUCGAUACGGGCAGACUAGAGUUCGGUAGGGGAGACUGGAAUUCCUGGUGUAGCGGUGAAAUGCGCAGAUAUCAGGAGGAACACCGGUGGCGAACGCGGGUCUCUGGGCCGAUACUGACGCUGAGGAGCGAAAGCGUGGGGAGCGAACAGG
rnacentral:rRNA from 1 species